GGAAGGCCAAGGCAAUUUUAAGAAAGCACGGUAACAUCUUAAAAGGUCCCCGAGUCCAUUAACUAAAAAGGACGCCUACUUCGUGCCCAGUGCUUAGCAGUCUCAUGGCCUCAGAACCAGAGACCACGGGAAGACCCCCAGCGAGGAGGCUAAGAAAACGGUCCGGCCAGGACAGUCGCAACCGAAACCCCAGGAGCACGCCCCAGCAGAGACCCGGCCGGAGUUGGAGCCAGGAUCUCCCCGAGGGCCGAGGACGCCCCCUCCCCCACCAAAGGGCUCACUCCUUUCCUCCGCCCUCACUUGCCUCGUCAGUCCUCCCCCAACGCCGUCCACUGCCCUUCCCAACCCCUAGUCGAAUCCAGGUUCAAGAGCGAGAAAAGCUGAUGCUCGCUCAGCAGCACCCGGGACGAUCCGCCAGCAGAAGGCCCCCAAUGGCGGCCGCCAUUUUGAAACUGGAGGCGAGCCGCUGAGGCGGGGAAGGCUUAGGGCGAUACCAUCAUCGGGGGGGUAGAGACGAAGCUGUGGGGAGGAGAUGGCGCUUACACCAACAAAUCUCGUCACCUUGCACCGAAGUUGUAAUUUUAAAAACCUUGUAAUGUGUGAAAGCUAAAAUAAAUGCAAUAAGAGUCAAACAUCAAAA